AUGUCCACUCCUACAAGUUCUCGGCUUGGCGAACAGCAAGACCGUGGCGGUCCAGCCAUUAGCGGGAGAGGACAAGGUUGUUUCCUGUCCAUGACCAAGACCAAGAAGCAGAACACCCCUGCCAAGCUCCAGCACAAGACUCUAAUGCGCAAGGAGUUCUGCAAGAUGGCCAAGUCUGUCAAGAACCAGAGUUGUGGCAUGGCAUGCUUGAUUUUUUGGUGGACUUGUGUCCCUGAUGAUGCACCGUUGUUGCACUGCCAACCAUCAGAUGCAGUAGCUGCUCCAGCUUGCUACCCCGCUGCCGCCGCUUGUUGUUUUUCUACUGCUCCUACUAGUUAG
rnacentral:rRNA from 1 species